CUUAAUGGCAAAAAUUGAGUUUAUUUUACGAGUAAAAAUAGCAUUAUAGUUACUAAGAAAAUUAGAAGGCUACAAACAACACACAUUUUUCUAGUUAGCAUUUUAUUUUUAUAUAAAAAUAUUUCUAAAAGCCUUUAUUAUAAAGAAUCUCUGAUCCUUAAUCACACUAUACAUAUUUAGCAUUUCACUGAUUAAUAAUUUGAAAGUACAGCCAAGGGUCCAGAGCAAACCAUCUCAAGGUGUCCAUGGUGUAGCUGGGAGUCGAGCUGGAGGAUGUCUAGCUCUAGCCCGUGAGGUCAGCUUUUGUCUGAGCCGUCGGACUUCUGCCAUCAGCUCCCACUCUUGACAUGCCAGGUCUUCUUGUCUCCUGUCUAAACCAUAGAAUCAUAGAAUGGUUUGGGUUGGAAAGGACCUUAAAGCUCAUCCAGUUCCAACCGCCUGCCACGGGCGGGACUCCGCUAGACCAGGUUGCUCCAAGCCCCAUCCAACCUGGUCUCGAGCAUUUUCAGGGAUGGGACAGCCACAGCUUCUCUGGGCAACCUGUUCCUGUGUCUCACCACUCUCACAAUGAAAAAUUUCUUCCUCAUAUCUAACCUAAAUCUAUCCUCUUUCAGCUUAAAGCCAUUCCCCCUUGUCCUCACUACUUGGGACAAUGUAAAAAGUUCCUCUACAGUUUUUUUGUCAGCCGCUUUAGGAAUUGCAAGGCUGCUCUAAGGUACUUCAGCCUGGAGAAUCGAAUACUCCAGGGAAACAAGAAACUCAGACUAAACAUUGCAACUAAUGAUUUUCACAAGUACUGUGAAUGCUUAUUGGAAAACAUGUAUCUCUGGCAUAGCAAUGCUGUGUUUUAUUACUACCACUGAGGUGAGACAGCCCUAAGACCUGUAAAUCAAGUUCUUUGAAAGCAGUGCCUCUCUUCUGUUACAAAAAGGUCAGGUGCUCUGCACUCUGCACACUGGCCAGCCACAGACAACAUGUUCCCUGUUGUAUGCAGAGUUUUGUACCUAAGACACAUUGUGCUUUCACUUGCCCUAGCAGCUAGGACAGCCCAGAGGUAAAGACUGCAGACUGUAACUCAUAGUAAGGCUUCGAUGAAAGACAUCUUCUCAACAUCCCCAAAUCACACGUAACUAUGAAGACAGAAAAAGCAUAGAUAAAACAAUCAGGUCAGAAUAGGAUUAAGCUGGGCUGGGGUUUAAUAGGACUGCUCUCAUGACAUGACACCCUCCAGGCCCUUCCUACCUGUGCUGCCCCUGGUAGUAAAGACAGUUUUUU
rnacentral:lncRNA from 1 species